rnacentral:lncRNA from 10 species
CCUCUCCAUUGUUAAGUGACGGGGAUAGAAGCUGUCCUGCACAGGAAGUCACGAGGGGGGCGUAUCCCACGAGGAAGGCAGGAGGGGGCGUGCCCCUCACCGGAAAUUAGCAGAGGGGCGUGUCCCACACCGGAAGUCAGAAAGCGGAGCCUUUCUUACACCGGAAGUCAAUGAAGCGGGUCUUUCCUACGCUAAAAACCACUGAGUGGAGUAUUUAGUACACAGGAAGUCGGCCAGAGAAACAUUUCUCAUAUUUGAAGGCCGGAAAGAGGGACAUUUCUGACACCGGAAGUCAGUGAGAGGACUCUUUCCCACACAGGAAGUCAGCUAGAGAGCCGUCUCCCCUCUCUGGAGCCGAGAGAGGCCGGUUUCCCCCACCAUAGCAGGGCUGGGAGAAAGGGAUGGGGAGAGUCCCUCCUGCCACUGACCCAGGAUGGAUAAAAGUACCCCUUUCAUAGAAGGAAGAAAAUGGGAACAAAGGUGCUGCUGAUCAUCUGAGGUUGCCUGCAUGGCAGUGAAGAACAUGGACCUUUGGGUAGCCCACCUGGGAGGAAUUUUCCAGAGAUCACUGUCUGAUGACCCUGUCUUGGAAUUGGAGCCAUGCAAGUUACACUGACCACGUUUGGGUUGGGAUAUUGAGGAGGUUAUGGUUAAAAGCAUACGAUGGGAGAUCAUAUUGUACUUGCGAGUGAGACCCGGCUGGAGGAAUGUUUUAAUUCUUCGGAAAUACCAAGUGGUCUCUGGGGACCUUUGGCCAUGUCUUGAGAUGUUUUUGGUUGCCGUGAUUGAGGAGGUGCUACCAGCGUCUGCUGGGCAGAGACCAGGGAUGCUGCUCCACAUCCCACAAUGCACAGGACAAUCUUCUCUACAGCAAUGAAUUAUCCAGUUCACAAUCUCAAUAGCACCAAUAUUGAGAAACCCUGUUGAAGAUGGAGACUAUCCACGGGGCAUUGAUCUUGGGGUCUCCCCCUUCCUGAAUACUUGAAGUCCCUCGGCAGACUCUUGGAUACCUCCAGCAAUGGGGAGCUCACCACCUGUUUUGAAGCCAGGCAGGUUUGGGCUCUUCUUGUAGCUGUGUGACUCUGGAUUUUCCCAUAGGUGGGAGUGGAUCCACCACCUUGAGCUUCAGUUUCCUCCAGUGCCAUGGGAUUAGCAGCAGCCCUGCCUCACAGAUUGCGUGAGGAUGAAAUGAGAUGAUGCUCCUGAGUUGGCUGGUGCAGUGCACGGUACACAGAGAGUGCUCAAUAAAUGUUCCCUGCUGUGAAU